rnacentral:rRNA from 1 species
GACGAACGCUGGCGGCGUGCCUAAUACAUGCAAGUCGAGCGGACAGAAGGGAGCUUGCUCCCGGAAGUUAGCGGCGGACGGGUGAGUAACACGUGGGCAACCUACCCUGUAGAUCGGGAUAACAUCGAGAAAUCGGUGCUAAUACCGGAUAAUCAUUUGAAGUGCAUGCUUCGAAUGUAAAAGAUGGCUCCGGCUAUCACUACGGGAUGGGCCCGCGGCGCAUUAGCUAGUUGGUAAGGUAAUGGUUUACCAAGGCAACGAUGCGUAGCCGACCUGAGAGGGUGAUCGGCCACACUGGGACUGAGACACGGCCCAGACACCUACGGGAGGCAGCAGUAGGGAAUCUUCCGCAAUGGACGAAAGUCUGACGGAGCAACGCCGCGUGAGUGAUGAAGGUUUUCGGAUCGUAAAGCUCUGUUGUUAGGGAAGAACAAGUGCCGUUUGAAUAAGGCGGCACCUUGACGGUACCUAACCAGAAAGCCACGGCUAACUACGUGCCAGCCGCCGCGGUAAGAC